rnacentral:rRNA from 1 species
CCUGAACGCUGGCGGCGUGGCUAAGACAUGCAAGUCGUACGGGGUCCGCAAGGAUCCAGUGGCGAACGGGUGAGUAAUGUAUCGCUAACGUACCCCUGUGUCCGGGAUAGCUGAGGGAAACUUCAGGUAAUACCGGGUGACAUUCUCUACCUGCAUGGGUGGAGACUCAAAGGGAAACCGCAAAGGGAGCGGGCGAUAUCGUAUCAGCUAGUUGGUGAGGUAACGGCUCACCAAGGCAAUGACGCGUAGCCGGACUGAGAGGUCGGCCGGCCACAUUGGGACUGAGACACUGCCCAGACUCCUACGGGGGGCUGCAGUAACGAAUCUUCCGCAAUGCACGCAAGUCUGAUGGAGCGACGCCGCGUGGAGGAUGAAGGUUCUUGGAUUGUAAACUCCUGUCACUGCAGAACAAGGCUACACAUAUGAAUAGUACGUGUAGUUGAUGGUAUGCGGAGAGGAAGGGACGGCUAACUCUGUGCCAGCAGCCGCGGUGAGACAGAGGUCCCGAGCGUUGUUCGGAUUCAUUGGGCGUAAAGGGUGUGUAGGAGGUCAGGUAAGUCGUGUGUGAAAUCUCAGAGCUUAACUCUGAAACUGCGCUCGAUACUGCUUGGCUAGAGGAUCGGAGGGGGUAACGGAAUUUAUGGUGUAGCAGUGAAAUGCGUAGAUAUCAUAAGGAACACCGGUGGCGAAGGCGGUUACCUGGAAGAUUCCUGACUCUGAACACGAAAGCCAGGGGAGCAACGGGAUUAGAUACCCCGGU